rnacentral:lncRNA from 10 species
AAAAGACAAGCCCCAGUGCACAAGUGCUUUCCAAACUUCUGCUUGCCUGAUGUUUCUUAAUGUCUCCUUGGCUGAAGCAAUGGCCAAGCCCACAUUCAAGAGCUAGAGACAGAGCUUAUACCUGUUGAUGGGAGGAAGAGCAGAGUCACAUUGCAAAGGGGUAUGCCUACAAUUUUGGAAGGAAUUCGUGGACAUUCGGCAAUUUCUUACAGACAUGUGACACUUUCGGGCUGAAGCACUUAAGAGCCAGUGUGCCCUGUCCAUUUCUGUCUUCUGUCCUGUGGAUUUGGAAGCAUGUGUUGACAGAACAAUGUCUUAUGGUGAAGGAAGCCUAAACCCCUGAGUCAUUGGAUGGAGGAGAGCCCAUGUUGACCCAUAAAGGACUUCAUGGUCUCGCUCUGUCACCCAGGCUGGAGUGCAGGCGUGCUAUCUUGGCUCACUGCAACUUCUGCUUCCCGAGUUCAAGAGAUCCUCAUACCUCAGCCUCCUGAGUAGCCGGGACUACAGGCAUGCGCCACCACACCCAGAUAUGACUUAGAAUAUGAUUGAAUAUGAAUACAUGAUUGAAGAUAUAUUAUAAAAUUGAGAUACUUGUUGCACCACUCCAGGCAUAUCAUGUGCACUGGCCCUGCUAGCUAAUGCUCUUCCCCCCACUACCAUCACCUUAUGGUAAACUCCUACUUACUUCUUUUUUUUUUUUUUUUUUUUUUUUGAGACGGAGUCUCGCUCUGUCACCCAGGCUAGAGUGCAGUGGCGCGAUCUCGGCUCACUGCAUCACUGCAAGCUCCGCCUCCCGGGUUCAGGCCAUUCUCCUGCCUCAGCCUCCCGAGUAGCUGGGACUACAGGCGCCUGCAACCACGCCUGGCUAAUUUUUUGUAUUUUUAGUAGAGACGGGGUUUCACUGUUAGCCCAGUUUAACCAUCAACACUUCCAUAGAGCACUCUCCCACCACUCCCAUAGUAUUAGCACAUCCUUUAUUCCAGCAUUAAUUCUACUACAGUUUACUUGUCUAUUAACCUAUUUUCCCCUCUAGAAUCUGAGCUUCUUGAAGCAGGGACAGUCAUGUAUGCAUCUUAAAAAAAUCUUCAAUCUCCAGUGCUCAUCAGAAGACCUGGCACAUAGCACAUUGUUAAUAACUCUUUGUUAUAUGAAAAAGUCCAUAAUGCAUUUUUGCUUUAAACUUUGCCAGGGAAGAAAAUUUGGAUGCUGUUUGUGUAUACUUCUUUGCCGUUCUUUGACAAUAAAAUAGAGAUAAUAUCACUUACUGCCCUUCUUCACACCUGAUAGAGUUACUGAGCUGGGAUAAUAGAUGGGCAAGGUGAAAGUGAAAGAAUUAAAUACAAAAAUCCAUAAUAGUGAUUAGACUUUCUUUGAUAUUAACAACAGGUAACAUGCAUUGAGCGUUUACUAUGUUCCAGGCAUGAAAUUAUCAAAUUUAUUUCUUAUAAUAGCUGCAAUUUUAGGUGAGUAAAUGAAAUUUUAGACAGUUUAAGUGACUUGUCUGAGGUGAAACAACUGGCAAGUCAAAGACUUUCUGAAAUCAGGGUCCACUAUGUGGAAACUAUUCUAUAUCGACUCACCAGUGAAGAUAGUGUGCUCCACUUAAAUGAGAAAAGCAACGAACAAUAAGCCCAGGGUGAAGAUUUGGUUACAUACCCUGCUUCUCAGGUUUUGCUUAAGUUUAGCGCCCACCAGGAAGAAAGAAAACGAUUAUCUGCCUCCUUGACUUUUGCAUCAUUUGUCUUUCUUCUGAUGAAAGUGGGACUAAUCACUGAGUUAGGGUUUCCUUAUUUUUAGUCUACACCAUGUUGCUUUAUCCUAAAAGGAUAAAUAUGGGCUGUGUGAUGGUUGACCACCUUUCUUCUUCCUUCUAUGAAGGUCUGAAAGGGCACAAGACAGGUAAAAAGGAAACAGCUUUUCUUUAGUAACUAAGUUGCUAGAUUUUUGAUCUCAUGGCCCUGAGCUACACGUGAAUGACUUUGACCUGUAAUCUGAAAUAAGAUAGACUUCAGAGUUCACCUCUCCCACCAUUUCACUCCAAAGGUGAGAUAAGGUAGAGUUGCUAAAGGUACAGUAUGAAGGGCAUGUGGCAUUUUAGUGUUGACAGUAUGCCAGCUCUAAGACCUGCUUCUUCCAUCUCCAACCAUUCCUGCUUGCUCCCCACUCCAAGCUGUGAUCCCCCCGAGUGAGUGAUAGAAGUGGCAAGAGGUUGUUCGGAAGAUUAAAGACCCAAGUCACCAGAGGCUGCCAUCUCGCAAGAAUAUUUAGACAUUUUUCCACUUGGCAGUCAUUAAUAUUCUUCAGCAAAGAGUAAAAAGAAAGCCUGUUCAAAAAGCCUCCCUCUUCAGAUCUCUGUACCUUGGAAGAUAAAGUGAAUGAAAGGGUUUUGUUAUGAAAUUAAAUAUUCAUUGGAUUGAGUUAGAGCUAUUACUGUUCUUGAGAAUAAAACUGGAUUUUUCCUUUGUUUUAAAUAACUACGGUCAUUUUAUGUAAGAAUCCAUUUCUGUACUGAAUUGAUCAGGGUAACGCAUGGUGUGAUUUUUCUAAUAUAAUAGACACAACAGGGAAAUGAAUACAGAAGGGCUCAAAGUAUUUUAUAGAGGGUAUACGAGCAAUUUGACGUCGCAGAAAACCUGUCAGAAAGAAGCACCAUGGAAUAGAGGAAAGAGGCCCGGAAUCCAGCCCCGGGAACUGUGACAGCCUCUGGGGUGGGGACUCUCGUGGAAAGGCUAGAUGAUGGAGUCACGUGCUCCCUUCCCGUUCACUAGCUGCUGAUUGGCCAACUGCUCCUGCCAGCUGUCCCUGCACUCCAGCUUCCUACCAUAUGCUCCAGAAUAACGUCUGGAAAAUUUGUCCACGUCUCUGCCCUGCUUCAAAUCCUUCAGAGGCUCCCCAUCACCCACAGGGAUGAUCUUUCUGAAAUGGAUUUGGCCAUGCCAGUCUCCUGCCUGAAACAGCCCUCCUGGCUCCUUGUCACUCAAAGGAAAAGGCAAACUCCUCAAGACUGCACAUAAUGCCCACCUUCCCAACCAGCCUCUCCUACUGCCACUCUCUCUCCUACACCCUACCUUCCAAACCCUACUUGGGGUUCACCCUCACAUGCUGGAGUUUUCCCAUCUCUGAGACUUCAUUCAGGCAGUUCCUUCUGGCUUCGGAGGCUUCUUUGUUCCUAAAGUUCAUACUUUAAGACCUAGCUGAAAUAUCAAGGCUUCCUGGACUCUGCAGGUGACACGAGCCACUGUGCUCCUGGAUGCUUCAGAACCUGUGCAGAUCUCUGUCUUCACUCCUACUAUGGCAUCUCCUAGCAUGUUCUACACUGAGCUCCACUGGGCCUUGCAUGUCAGUAUCCCGAAUUCUGAAUGAAGCUUGGAACAUGGGAGGUGCAUCCACUAACAACAUGAAGAAUGAAGACAUGUGUGUCAAGGCACAGGCUGAGUCAUCAGAACACCUUCCCUGAAUUGUGUCAAACAAGUGUACAUGUGCUCAAGUGUAUCUGGAUUCUGAUUUGGCUGCACAGUCACUGUUUUCCAGAUGUUUGCAGAAGAAAUAUGAGCUGGAGGAGACUCACUGAAAGCUGGAACUAGAAGGAUGCACACUGCUCAUCCAAGCCAAUUCACUUAUUUUACCAAUGAUAAAACUGAGUCUCAGAGAAGUCAUACGCUUGCCCAAAGACACAGCUUGUGGUGGAGGAGUCAACACCAGAACUCUGGUCCAGGACUGCAAAAAAACACUUAACAUGUGCUAAUAAUGAGGAUAAAAGAUACUUCAAAUUCUGGGAGUUCUAUAAUGUUUGAGCACAUAUACCAUUGAAUCCUUUUAAUAACCCAUCGCUUACACAGAUGAGGAAACCAAGGCUCAUAGAAAUAAAGUGCUUUGCCAAAAGGCACAAAACUGGUCAGUAAUAAAUCUGAUCUCCAGGUUCCCAGUCCAGAACUUUCUGCAGCACUAUCUUUUUGUUCCCUUUAACUACCAGAAGCUUUAACCCAAAAUGAGGCUUCAACUAUAAAAGCUAUUUAAGACCUUAUGGCUGCGUAUCUCUGCCCUAAGUUUUCUCUUGAUCCUUAUUUUAUAUUCUAAUGUUUAAAACUUGUUCCCCAAAUUUUUAAAGUUUGCAUUCAUUUUAUUUCAAUAAGCCACGCCAAAAUCUGUGUGUCAUAAGCUAUCUAUACGUAAAUAAAUGAACGAAUGAAUGAGCAAACAAACAAAAUCUUAAGAGGCAGAGUAACAUGGUGGAAAAAUACCAGGCUUACAUUCAAUUCAAUACCACUUUGUCUAUUGUCUUCAUCUUUGAGCCUCACUUUCAUUAUCUGUCAAACAGGUCUAACAAAAUUUAUCAUUAAGCAUUAUUAUAAGUCUAAAAAUAAACAUGGAACAUAUGAAGAAGGUUUGUAUGUUAUCAGUGGUAUCUAAAUUGGCAGCUCAUAGUAGUAUUACUAGUAAUAAUAAUAUAAACAAAGAAGCCUGAUUAAUGCAAGUGAGAUGAGUUAUUUGACUCCAGAAACCCCGCCUCCAGACAUGAGUUACGGCUCUCAUUGGGUUUUAUG